rnacentral:rRNA from 1 species
GACGAACGCUGGCGGCGUGCCUAAUACAUGCAAGUCGACCUUAGUGGCAAACGGGUGAGUAACACGUGGGUAACCUGCCCAUCAGAAGGGGAUAACACUUGGAAACAGGUGCUAAUACCGUAUACAGAUGGAUGGACCCGCGGUGCAUUAGCUAGUUGGGGAGGUAACGGCUCACCAAGGCCACGAUGCAUAGCCGACCUUAGAGGAUGAUCAGUCACACUGGAACUGAGACACGGUCCAUACUCCUAUGGGAGGCCGCAGUGGGGAAUAUUGGACAAUGUGCGAAAGCCUGAUCCAGCCAUGCCGCGUGUGUGAAGAAGGUCUUCGGAUUGUAAAGCACUUUAAGUUGGGAGGCGUUACCAACAGAAUAAGCACCGGCUAACUUCGUGCCAGCCGCCGCGGUAAUAC